AUGUUUAAAAAAGGGAAAAGGGAAAUUUCUUUUUGUCACUUUUCAUUUGGUACAGAUUCCUGAACAAUGCCUGAAGCUAAGGGGAAACACAGAUGAGGAGUUUCUUCUCUCGUCCUGCUACAAGAACAUCACCAGUAAACCUGGCAUUCAUCAUCUAACUAGCAAAUCUGAAUGAUUUGCUAUAGCUUGCAAGAUCACUUCAGAAGAGGCCGUAAGUCUACAACACAAUGACUAAUGGCAGUCAAGUAAAACGAUACCAGAUCAGUAUCAAAGACAAAAAAGAUGCUAUGCUGUUGCAGUUGUGGAAGAUUGGUACAUGAUGAACAUGAACAAAUCAGAAACAGAAGAGAACAGCAGUGCUCAUCAGGUGUAACAGCAACUCCAUUUGGAUGGCACUGGCUUCCAGUGGAGUCGCUGUUACUUUCGAUGGGCACUUA